GGAAGCGCCGGGCUGUGUCGGAAGAUGAGCUUAGAAGGAUUGCUGCUGAGGUAUGUGACACCAUACUUGGACACACCAAGGAACGCUUUGCCUUCAAAGACCACCUCAUCAGUGCCACCUUACUGCAGGGCAACCAGUUUGAAUGCUACCUCAAGGUAUUCCCUGAAGUUGCUUUGGCCACCACAUUGAAGGCCUAUCCAAUUCUGGAUGGAGGCAAGCUGAAGACAGAGCUUGGCCUCAUCUAUGGCACAGACGAAUUCAGAUCCUGCCGUAGUGCUGUGGAUCUUUUCCAGUUGUUCAUGGAAAACAAUCUAUCUGAGGUAUUUUCAGAGACAGUUACACUGCUGAAAAUCAUGAUCACAACUCCCAUGACCACUGCUGAGGCUGAGAGGUGUUUUUCAACUCUGAAAAGGAUUAAAACCUUCCUCAGGAACACCAUGAGUCAGGAGAGACUGAAUGCCUUAGCCAUGCUCUCAAUGGAAAAAAGGCUGGUCACAGACAUGAUUGACUUUAACCAGAGAGUUAUUGAGGAAUUUGCCAGCUUGAAAGAGAGGAGGGCUACAUUUCUUUACAAGUAGUGGGGCCUACUCUGGCACAUAAAUGUCAAAUGUGAUGAAUAUGUGUCUGAAUACUAAUCUAAACCUAGUUCCAAUGUUUGUAAUGAGCAGUGUGUUUCUGUUUAAUACAUCUUUGUUUUUCAAUAUA